UAGUCCAAUUUGAACGAAUCAGUAGUCUCCAGUCAUGCGACAUGGUAGACGAGCAUUCUCAUGCUCCUUCACAACUCGAGCCGCUACUGUCAGCACCCAAACUCAUAUCUCCGCCCUCGCUGAGCUCCUCCUCUCCGCCGCCCUUCACCAAUCUCUCCCCGCCUCACAUGCCUUCUCCGGCGUUCGCCGACCCCUCGACUUCUCCUCCCUCCCUUCCCCUCUCCCCGACUCCGCCGUCCUACGCCUCUUCCGACUCCCCUCUCUCUCCCCCGACUCCAAGCUCUCUCUUUUCCGCCUCCUCUCCUCCCUCCCAUCAUAUUCGCCUUCCCCCUCCUGUCUCUCCGCUCUCCUCCUCUCCCUCUCCCGCGCAGGCCGCCUUUCCGACCUCCCCGACCUCCUCCGCUUCGCCCUCUCCUCCUCCACCGUCGAUCCCACCACCUUCUCUUCUGUCCUAUCGGCAUUCAUCCGUGCUGAACGCUAUGACCUCGCCAUCGCCGCCCUCGAUGACGCCGUGGCCCUCCUCGACCCUGUCGCCGCCGCGAAGGUCCUCACCCCACGAACAUACUGCUCCAUCAUGCUCGCUCUUCUCAAAAAAUCCCAGCUUGACCUCGCCCUGCCUAUGUUCCGAAAGCUCCUGGCCUCCUCCUCCGAGCUCGACCCGCGCGCCUGUAAUCAGCUCCUUCUCGCGCUGCGAAAGACCGACAUGCAGGAUGAUUUCCGCAAUGUGUUCGACGAAUUGUCUGAAAGAGGUUUUCCCUUUGACACUUGGGGUUACAACAUUUGCAUCCAUUCUUUUGGCGAAUGGAGGCAAUUGGGUACUUCUUUGAAGCUUUUUAAAGAGAUGAAAGCCAAGGGACUAGAACCAGACCUCUGCACUUAUAACACGGUGAUGGGUGCUCUUUGUGCUGGAGGUAAGGUUGGUGAUGCUUUGGCUGCUUAUGAGGAGAUGAAGGAUUCAGGUCAUGAACCAGAUCGUUUUACUUAUCAAAAUUUGAUCUUGGGCUGCUGCAAGUCCUAUCUAGUUGAUGAGGCAGUGCGGGUUUUCAGGGAAAUGGAGUAUAAAGGCAUAAAGGCUGAUAUUUUGGCCUACAAUACUUUGCUUGAUGGUCUCAUGAAGGUUAGGAAACUGACUGAAGCCUGUCAGCUUUUUGAGAAAAUGGUUUCUGAUGGAGUUAGAGCUUCCCGCUACUCUCACAACAUAAUGAUUGAUGGUUUGUUUAGAAACGAUCGUCCUGCUGCCGCAUUUGCGCUGUUUUCUGAAUUGAAGAAGAGGGGACAGUUUGUUGAUGGCGUUACUUACAGUAUUGUUAUUUCUCGCCUGUGCAAGGAGGGCCGAGUAUCCGAAGCUCUUGACCUGGUUAAGGAGAUGGAGGAGAGAGGGUUUCCUGUAGAUUUGGUUACGAUAACAUCGCUUUUGAUAGGGCUCCAUAAGAGUGGAAGAUGGGAUUCUGCAGAGAGGUUAGCGAAGUAUGUGAGGGAUAAUGUUCUUUUGCCUAGUGUUCUCAGGUGGAAAGAGAACAUGGAAUCUUCACUUAGAGCUCCUCAGGAUAAGGGGAAGGAUUUCACUCCUCUCUUCCCCUGUGUUGGAAGCCUUAGCGAUGUAAUAAGUUUGAUUGAUCACGCACCAGAAAAUAGCACUAGAGAGCCUGGUUCUGCUUGCUCAUCUGAAGAUGACUGGUCUUCUUCUCCCUACCUGGAUAGGCUUGCUGGAAAUUUCAACACUUUUGAUGAAUCACAAUUCUUUACACCAAGUAGAGAACAAAGGAUUCAGGCAAAUGGAAUCAAAUCAUUCGACACAGAUAUGAUGAACACUUACUUAUCAAUUUUCUUAUCUAAUGGGAAGCUAAGCAUGGCUUGCAAAUUGUUUGAGAUCUUUAGAUCUUUAGGCACUGAACCUGUGGGAUUCACAUAUAACUCUUUAUUGAGCUCAUUUGUUAAGAAGGGGUAUUUAAGAGAUGCAUGGGGCAUAGUUCAAGAUAUGAGGGACAAGAAAAGCCCAGCUGAUAUUGCCACCUUUAACUUGAUAAUACAAGGUUUGAGCAAGAUGGGAAAGGGUGAUCUUGCUACAAUCAUUCUUGACUGGCUAGUGAAAAAUGGGGGCUUUCUCGACAUUGUAUUGUAUAAUACUGUGAUUCAUUCAUUGGGGAAGGCUGGUAGAGUGGAUGAGGCUAAUAAGCUAUUCAAGAAAAUGACAGAAACUGGCAUGAAUCCAGACGUGGUUACUUUCAAUACACUCAUUGAAGUUAAUUCUAAAGCUGGGAGAGUCAAAGAAGCAUAUAAGUUUUUGAGGAAGAUGCUGGCUGCAGGGUGUAUGCCCAACCAUGUUACUGACACAAUUCUUGAUUUCCUUGAAAGGGAGAUUGAGAAAAUAAGGCUUCGUAAGGCAUCCAUUAGGCGUAAUGAGGACCUUAAUCCUGAUAAUGAAGAUGCCCAUUCAACAAGCUGAAAUUUUGGAAGGGGAAGGUGGCCUAUUGUGGGUUGCAGCAUUGUUUGUGUUAUCUUACCAGCUGAAAUUACUACUCUUCAGCAUUCAAGCGAGGUUCAGUUAUAUUGCACAUGCAGUAGCUUGGAGAGCUCACAAGUGGUUGCAGUUGUUUGCUACUGAGAGCUUGAGAGUGUGUUGAGUGCUUUGAGAGUUUUUGUGUCCGAGGGUUUGUUUUGCUCAAAGAGUUAGUGAGC